CCUACGGGAGGCAGCAGUGGGGAAUAUUGGGCAAUGGUCGCAAGACUGACCCAGCAACGCCGCGUGAAGGAAGAAGGCUUUCGGGUUGUAAACUUCUUUUCUCAGGGACGAAGCAAGUGACGGUACCUGAGGAAUAAGCCACGGCUAACUACGUGCCAGCAGCCGCGGGAAUACGUAGGUGGCAAGCGUUAGCCGGAUUUACUGGGUGUAAAGGGCGUGUAGGCGGGAAAGCAAGUCAGAUGUGAAAACCAUGGGCUCAACCUGUGGCCUGCAUUUGAAACUGUUUUUCUUGAGUACUGGAGAGGCAGACGGAAUUCCUAGUGUAGCGGUGAAAUGCGUAGAUAUUAGGAGGAACACCAGUGGCGAAGGCGGUCUGCUGGACAGCAACUGACGCUGAGGCGCGAAAGCGUGGGGAGCAAACAGGAUUAGAUACCCCUGUAGUC
rnacentral:rRNA from 1 species